rnacentral:rRNA from 1 species
UACCAGCACCCCGAGUGGUCGGGACGUUUAUUGGGCCUAAAGCAUCCGUAGCCGGUUCUACAAGUCUUCCGUUAAAUCCACCUGCUUAACAGAUGGGCUGCGGAAGAUACUAUAGAGCUAGGAGGCGGGAGAGGCAAGCGGUACUCAAUGGGUAGGGGUAAAAUCCGUUGAUCCAUUGAAGACCACCAGUGGCGAAGGCGGCUUGCCAGAACGCGCUCGACGGUGAGGGAUGAAAGCUGGGGGAGCAAACAGG